UUGAACGCUGGCGGCAGGCCUAACACAUGCAAGUCGAGCGGAUGAAGGGAGCUUGCUCCUGGAUUCAGCGGCGGACGGGUGAGUAAUGCCUAGGAAUCUGCCUGGUAGUGGGGGAUAACGUCCGGAAACGGGCGCUAAUACCGCAUACGUCCUGAGGGAGAAAGCGGGGGAUCUUCGGACCUCACGCUAUCAGAUGAGCCUAGGUCGGAUUAGCUAGUUGGUGGGGUAAAGGCCUACCAAGGCGACGAUCCGUAACUGGUCUGAGAGGAUGAUCAGUCACACUGGAACUGAGACACGGUCCAGACUCCUACGGGAGGCAGCAGUGGGGAAUAUUGGACAAUGGGCGAAAGCCUGAUCCAGCCAUGCCGCGUGUGUGAAGAAGGUCUUCGGAUUGUAAAGCACUUUAAGUUGGGAGGAAGGGCAGUAAGUUAAUACCUUGCUGUUUUGACGUUACCAACAGAAUAAGCACCGGCUAACUUCGUG
rnacentral:rRNA from 1 species